rnacentral:rRNA from 1 species
UACGUAGGGCGCAAGCGUUGUCCGGAAUUAUUGGGCGUAAAGAGCUCGUAGGCGGCCUGUUACGUCUGCUGUGAAAUCCCGGGGCUUAACCCCGGGCGUGCAGUGGAUACGGGCAGGCUGGAGGCAGGCAGGGGAGAACGGAAUUCCCGGUGUAGCGGUGAAAUGCGCAGAUAUCGGGAGGAACACCGGUGGCGAAGGCGGUUCUCUGGGCCUGUACUGACGCUGAGAGACGAAAGCUAGGGGAGCGAAUGGG